UACGGGGCGCAGCAGUCGCGCAAACUUUGCAAUACACGAAAGUGUGACAGGGCUAUCCCGAGUGCCGUCCGCUGAGGAUGGCUUUUACCCAGUCUAGAAAGCUGGGAGAAUAAGGAGAGGGCAAGUCUGGUGUCAGCCGCCGCGGUAAUACCAGCUCUCCGAGUGGUGUGGAUGUUUAUUGGGCCUGAAGCAUCCGUAGCUUGCUGAGCCAGUCCCCUGUUAAAUCCACCGAAUUAAUCGUUGGUGUGCGGGGGAUACUGCUCGGCUAGGGGACGAGAGAGGCCGACGGUAUUUUCGGGGUAGGGGUGAAAUCCUAUAAUCCCGGGAAGACCACCAGUGGCGAAGGCUGUCGGCUAGAACGCGCCCAACGGUGAGGGAUGAAAGCUGGGGGAGCGAACCGGAUUAGAUACCCGGGUAGUCCCAGCUGUAAACUAUGCAGGCUAGGUGUUUGGGCGGCUACGCGCCGCUCUAGUGCCGCAGGGAAGCUGUUAAGCCUGCCGCCUGGGGAGUACGGCCGCAAGGCUGAAACUUAAAGGAAUUGGCGGGGGAGCACCACAAGGGGUGAAGCUUGCGGUUUAAUUGGAGUCAACGCCGGAAAUCUCACCGGGGGCGACAGCAGGUU
rnacentral:rRNA from 1 species